rnacentral:rRNA from 1 species
AUUGAACGCUGGCGGCAUGCUUUACACAUGCAAGUCGAACGGUAACAGGCCUUCGGGUGCUGACGAGUGGCGAACGGGUGAGUAAUGCAUCGGAACGUACCCAGAGGUGGGGGAUAACGCAGCGAAAGCUGUGCUAAUACCGCAUGUGAUCUGAGGAUGAAAGCGGGGGACCGAGCAGCAAUGUUUGGCCUCGCGCCUUUGGAGCGGCCGAUGUCAGAUUAGCUAGUUGGUGGGGUAAAGGCCUACCAAGGCGACGAUCCGUAGCUGGUCUGAGAGGACGACCAGCCACACUGGGACUGAGACACGGCCCAGACUCCUACGGGAGGCAGCAGUGGGGAAUUUUGGACAAUGGGCGCAAGCCUGAUCCAGCAAUGCCGCGUGCGGGAAGAAGGCCUUCGGGUUGUAAACCGCUUUUGGCAGGAACGAAACGGUGUCCGCUAAUACCGGGCGCUAAUGACGGUACCUGCAGAAUAAGCACCGGCUAACUACGU